CUUACUUGCGUUUCACUCCGGUUUUCAAAUUUGGGAUGUUGAAGAAACAGAUAACGUUCAUGUUAUAGUCUCUUCCCACGAUGGACAAGCGUCUUUUAUGCAAAUGCUGCCAAACCCUAUAACCUCGGAGGAGUUUGACGAUAGGUUCUCCGAGAGCCGUCCGCUUUUAGCCGUCUGUGGUGACAGUUCUUGGGAAGAACAUAGCGUUUCCGACAUCCCUGGAAGCGAGACCGUGACGGUUCCUACGAAUGUGCAUGUCUACUCGUUAAGAUCUCAGUCUUAUGUCCAUACCUUGAGGUUCCGGUCUGUUAUCUAUACCGUUAGGUGUAGUUCUCGGAUCGUUGCUGUCCUACAAGCAUCUCAGGUUCGAGUUUUGUCCUAUUAAUUUUUUUCGAUUUUAGGUAUUAUAUCAUCACCAUCAUCUUCUUCCUUAACGAUUCAGCUUAACUAUUUUCAGCUCGAUCGCUGAUUCUUUCUUCAGGGUUUUGCAAAUUUUCAAUUUCUUUGCUUUGAUCAAAGCUUUAAUCUUCACAAAAAUCUUAAAAUUGGAAGCAAUCUCAGGCGUAUAGAUAUUGAAUUGGAGAAGGGUAACGAGUUAUGAGGAAAAACGGCGACGUUUCUCCGAAGCCGACAACUUCCGACGGAGGAGUCGUGUCUCGAUCAGCUCGGACCUCGUUCCGUGCUCUGUUUCGUGUCAUUUUCUCCGGCGCCUCCACCGUCGCUCGCUCCGCCGCAUCCGCCGCUUCUUCCGCCGUUAACCGUGACGUUGAAUCUCUUCACGAUCAGGUUAAAAAAUUGCAAAUUAAGCAACUUUAGCUGUGUUGUUACCCAAAGUUAAGACCUUUAUAUAAUGGGUUUGCUUCAUUUGUUUGUUAGCUUUUAAAAGAUUGGACCUUUUAGAAAUAUUGGAACUUUACCUGUGAUGCUAGUCAAAGUUAAGAGCUUUCUAUAAUGGGUUUGUUUCAUUUGUUUUAAAAGCUUUAAAAAGAUCAAACCUUUAUAGGUUGUGGAUAGUGUUCUGUUUUAUUGAAAAGUUGAAUUCUCUUUUUUUUUAGGUACUAUGGGCGGGGUUUGAUAAGCUGGAGAAAGAAGAUGGCGAGACACGGAGAGUUCUCUUACUUGCGUUUCACUCCGGUUUUCAAAUUUGGGAUGUUGAAGAAACAGAUAACGUUCAUGUUAUAGUCUCUUCCCACGAUGGACAAGCGUCUUUUAUGCAAAUGCUGCCAAACCCUAUAACCUCGGAGGAGUUUGACGAUAGGUUCUCCGAGAGCCGUCCGCUUUUAGCCGUCUGUGGUGACAGUUCUUGGGAAGAACAUAGCGUUUCCGACAUCCCUGGAAGCGAGACCGUGACGGUUCCUACGA
rnacentral:lncRNA from 1 species